rnacentral:rRNA from 1 species
UACGAAGGGUGCAAGCGUUAUUCGGAAUUACUGGGCGUAAAGGGUGCGUAGGCGGUUCGUUAAGUCUGUCGUGAAAUCCCCGGGCUCAACCUGGGAAUGGCGAUGGAUACUGGCGAGCUAGAGUGUGGCAGAGGAUGGUGGAAUUCCCGGUGUAGCGGUGAAAUGCGUAGAGAUCGGGAGGAACAUCAGUGGCGAAGGCGGCCAUCUGGGACAACACUGACGCUGAAGCACGAAAGCGUGGGGAGCAAACAGG